AUGAACGCUAGCGACAGGCCUAACACAUGCAAGUCAGGGGCAGCACAAGGAGCAAUCUGAGGUGGCGACCGGCGCACGGGUGAGUAACACGUAUGCAACCUGCCUGUAAGCGGGGAAUAACCCGUUGAAAGACGGACUAAUACCGCAUAAUACUAAAUUACUGCAUGGUAAUUUAUUUAAACAUUUAUGGCUUACAGAUGGGCAUGCGCAUGAUUAGCUAGUUGGAGAGGUAACGGCUCCCCAAGGCAACGAUCAUUAGGGGUUCUGAGAGGAAGGUCCCCCCACACUGGUACUGAGACACGGACCAGACUCCUACGGGAGGCAGCAGUGAGGAAUAUUGGUCAAUGGACGAGAGUCUGAACCAGCCAAGUCGCGUGCAGGAAGAAUGUCCUAUGGAUUGUAAACUGCUUUUGCAGGGGAAUAAAGUGCAUCACGUGUGAUGUUUUGUAUGUACUCUGCGAAUAAGGAUCGGCUAACUCCGUGCCAGCCGCUGC
rnacentral:rRNA from 1 species